UGAGGAAAAGAAACCAACUGGGAUUGCCUUAGUAACGGCGAGUGAAGCGGCAAAAGCUCAAAUUUGAAAUCUGGUACCUUUGGUGCCCGAGUUGUAAUUUGGAGAGUACCACUUUGGGACUGUACUUUGCCUAUGUUCCUUGGAACAGGACGUCAUGGAGGGUGAGAAUCCCGUGUGGCGAGGGUGUCAGUUCUUUGUAAAGGGUGCUCGAAGAGUCGAGUUGUUUGGGAAUGCAGCUCUAAGUGGGUGGUAAAUUCCAUCUAAAGCUAAAUACAGGCGAGAGACCGAUAGCGAACAAGUACAGUGAUGGAAAGAUGAAAAGAACUUUGAAAAGAGAGUGAAAAAGUACGUGAAAUUGUUGAAAGGGAAGGGCAUUUGAUCAGACAUGGUGUUUUGCGCCCCUUGCCUCUCGUGGGCUUGGGACUCUCGCAGCUCACUGGGCCAGCAUCGGUUUUGGCGGCCGGAAAAAACCUAGGGAAUGUGGCUCUGCGCCUCGGUGUAGAGUGUUAUAGCCCUGGGGAAUACGGCCAGCCGGGACCGAGGACUGCGAUAC
rnacentral:rRNA from 1 species